AGUAAUUUUGUUUUAAAAGUAUUUUGUGUAUUGUAAAGCUGGGGGAACCAGCGAGGAGCGCCUUGGAAUAGCCCAGCUGGGAAGUGAUGGAGGCGUGGGAGUAUUUUAGCUGCUGUGGGGUGUGAGGUUUGCCACUGCGAGGCGAAGGGAAUCUGAACAUAAACGAUAGGAGGAGUCGCAAUACAUCUCCAGCAAUGAACAAAGACAAAGUAUUGACGCGGGGAUAAGAGUCAACCUCUCAAGUGAACAAACGUUUAUCCACCAGACGCUGACUUUAGACGAUUUCUGGUUGCAAUUCAUCCAGAUAUAUUGACGUGAAUCGAAGUGAGUCGAGAAUGAAGCAGAUUUUCAGCACAACGUAUAUUAUUUGGAAUUUAACAAUUAAGUUUUUGUGUGUCUUGGCUGAAAUUGGUGUUUCACAGUCACCUCAGGCCGUGACAGGGAAUGAAAAUGGAAACGUAUCUAUGGAGUGCAACACCACUGUGUCCGACCCAACCUUUCAUUGGUACACGCAACAUGGAAACGGCUCCAUCCGGUUCUUGGUUUUGGGAACAAGAGAGAUCGAUGUGAAGGACAGGCUAAGAGGCUAAGAGCUUUGGCUAAUACAAGACAGAGAAACUGCACUCUAAGAAUCCAAGACUUGCGAGUGUCAAACACCGCCACUUACUUCUGUGCGGCGAGCACAGUGCUCCGUGUCUAAGAGGGACCUGUACAAAAGCAUUCUAUGUUUACUGCAGCUCAAUGGUUAGAACAUUUGCCUCGCGAGCGAGGUCAUUGGGUUCAAUACGGGCAGGUUAAAAUGUUGGUCAAGUUUCGUUACUCCACAUGCGUCUCUUUAUCCAGCAGUAAGUCGGAAUAUGGUUGUUGGUUGAUUGACGGAUCGCUUUUCCGAUGGUAAUAAUUCCUAUAUAUAGAGAAAAAAUUUCAAUCCACAACUGUUUCAAUCCACAUUUGCUGCGCGCAAAUGGCUGUGAUAUCUUGCCCAUAACACAAGCAGUCAAUUCACUCCACGGUACAGACUACCAAAUGCUAUGUAUCAUCGAAUACGUGAUAAAGCACUAUAUUAAAUACGAAGUUUAUUAUU